rnacentral:rRNA from 1 species
GACGAACGCUGGCGGCGUGCCUAAUACAUGCAAGUAGAACGCACAGUUUAUACCGUAGCUUGCUACACCAUAAACUGUGAGUUGCGAACGGGUGAGUAACGCGUAGGUAACCUGCCUGGUAGCGGGGGAUAACUAUUGGAAACGAUAGCUAAUACCGCAUAAUAUUGAUUAUUGCAUGAUAAUUGAUUGAAAGAUGCUAUUGCAUCACUACCAGAUGGACCUGCGUUGUAUUAGCUAGUAGGUGAGGUAACGGCUCACCUAGGCGACGAUACAUAGCCGACCUGAGAGGGUGAUCGGCCACACUGGGACUGAGACACGGCCCAGACUCCUACGGGAGGCAGCAGUAGGGAAUCUUCGGCAAUGGACGAAAGUCUGUCCGAGCAACGCCGCGUGAGUGAAGAAGGUUUUCGGAUCGUAAAGCUCUGUUGUAAGAGAAGAACGGGUGUGAGAGUGGAAAGUUCACACUGUGACGGUAUCUUACCAGAAAGGGACGGCUAACUACGUG